CUACGGGAGGCUCCAGUGGGGAAUAUUGGACAAUGGGGGCAACCCUGAUCCAGCCAUGCCGCGUGUGUGAAGAAGGCCUUAGGGUUGUAAAGCACUUUCAGAAGUGAGGAAAGGUUGGUAGUUAAUACCUGCCAGCUGUGACGUUAACUUCAGAAGAAGCACCGGCUAACUCCGUGCCAGCAGCCGCGGUAAUACGGAGGGUGCAAGCGUUAAUCGGAACUACUGGGCGUAAAGCGCGCGUAGGCGGCAAGUUAAGUCGGAUGUGAAAGCCCCGGGCUCAACCUGGGAAUUGCAUUCGAUACUGGCUAGCUUGAGUUUUGGAGAGGAGUGUGGAAUUCCCGGUGUAGCGGUGAAAUGCGUAGAGAUCGGGAGGAACAUCAGUGGCGAAGGCGACACUCUGGGCAGAGACUGACGCUGAGGUGCGAAAGCGUGGGUAGCAAACAGGAUUAGAUACCCUCGUAGUC
rnacentral:rRNA from 1 species